rnacentral:rRNA from 1 species
UACAGAGGUGGCAAGCGUUGUUCGGAAUUACUGGGCGUAAAGGGCGCGUAGGCGGCCUACUAAGUCAGACGUGAAAUCCCUCGGCUUAACCGGGGAACUGCGUCUGAUACUGGAUGGCUUGAGUGUGGGAGAGGGAUGCGGAAUUCCAGGUGUAGCGGUGAAAUGCGUAGAUAUCUGGAGGAACACCGGUGGCGAAGGCGGCAUCCUGGACCACGACUGACGCUGAGGCACGAAAGCGUGGGGAUCAAACAGG